GUCCUCUUCUCUGCCCGCGGCGGCCCCGCUCCCCCUUCGACCUAGAAACUCCUGUGGCGGCAGGCGAGCGAGCAGAGAGAGAUGAGCGCCGCUGCUCCUGCAGUCCCGCCUCCCCUCCCAGCUUCUUACUCUGCCUCAAUCUGCUGGCGGGGAAUUUAGGAUUCCAGCGAGCAGGGGCUCAUCGGUGAUCCUUCGGCGCGCGGCUGCGACGGAGAUGGACUCCCCGGGUGUCCAUGGCGGAUGGCGGCGGCGACAACUCGGCUCUACGAGAGCGACUCGGAGGAUUUGGAAGGAGAGAUGGAUCCAAGCACUCUACGCAAUGAUGGGAUGAUUGCUCUUUCAACAUAUUCUAUUAGCGAGGAUGGCAAGUGAAAGUGGGAGCAACUGGAUCACUAUUCCUAUCAUGCAUUGUAGACAUGAUGCAUUGGACAUAUGUCUGACAAAUUGUCCUUGGAUGAGGAAAUUCCAAUUAUCUUGCUGUGGUGUGCUGCUCUCUUUUGGCACUCAUUUUAUAUCAUUACAACUGUUCAAACAACAUGGAGGGUCGGUAAGGACGUCGUGGAUGUUGUAAGUUUGCUUGUCCUUGUAUGCCUUGCUUUCCCAUUUAGUAUGUAUAUCACUUUAUUCAAUUAAGAAAGGCAUUUUAGACCCUCACGAUAAGAAGUCGUCUCAAGAAGAGUGGCGUCAGAAUAACCAUAGCGGUCAAUAGGCGGAAGCGGGCGAGCGCAAAAGCCAUAGUAGGUUGAGCUGGAGGCGGUGCAUUGCCAACAGAAGGUGGCAUGGUAGUCGAGGGAGAUGGUGCAUUAGAAGAAUCUACAACACGCGGACCACCAAUGUGGUAAAGAAGAGGGGAAGGGGGGGGGGGAGGUGUAUCGCUGGAGAAGCCUUAGGGGACAAGCGAGGUGAGGCAGCCUCAGGUAACGAAUGAGGUGGGGAAGUCGUAGGUGACGACAACAUGGGGUUUACUAUAAUAGUAUGGAAGAUACGGUGGGAUGGGUGGACGAGGACAAAACAUGAUUGAUAGGUGUAUCGGGAAAAGUAAGGAAAGAAAUAUCCUCAAUAGGAGGAUGGACGUGGAUAGGAAGGAUGAAACUCAUCAAAAGUCACAUCCCGAGAAAUGCGCAUCCGCCGAGCGAUUUGAUCCCAACACUGAUGUGCUCAUCACUUCAACCGUAGGGGGGCACAUUCAAUAGAUUGAGGAGUCUAUUUGGUGUGUUGGGUGGGGUAGGGGGGCAAGAAGAACAUAGCAAACGUAACGAAACAAACGAAGUGCUGAACAAUCACGAGAACGACCAAAAAGACGCUUGAGAGAAAUUACACCCCACAGAUGGCUGAAUCUUGAUGAGAUAGGUGGAAGUAGAGCAGCGUCAACCGAUAAGUAACAUGGAAGAGAGCCGACGAUCAUCAACGCAUGAACCGCCUCAAGAAGGUGACGAUGCUUGCGCUCAUCAACACCAUUCUGAGCAUGAGCACGUGGACAAGAGAACUGAGCAAGUGUGCCAUACUCAGCAAAGAAUCCACGCAGCAAAUGAGAGAUAUACUAACGAGCAGAAUCUGCCCGGAAGACAUGGGCAGGAGUGGAAAACUUAGUAUGAACCAUGGUGGCAAAUUUCUUUGGGCCAGUGCUUUUGCCAACUUUUUUGGGCUUCCAGAAUAAGCUGCCCCUUCCCAGCUUAUUAUAGAAACCCAACCAAAUUAUUUUUUAGAAGCCUAUAGAAACUCAACCAAAUUUAUUUUGUUGGUUUCUAGAAUAAGCUAGGUAGGGCGCAGCUUAUUCCAGCUAUUUCUAGAAGCCACCAAAAGAACUGUGUGUCAAGAGAAAUGAUCUAUGGAUAAUAUAGUAGUGAUGGCCUCCUUUCGAAAGGACGUUGAGACACCGUCUCGCUAUGAGGAUAGAGUAAUUGAACUUGUUUACCAAGCCGACAAACCUGAUAGUCUAAAAACACAAUGCUAAAGAAUUAAAGAUGGAUCCAAGAAGACCAUGUCGAACUAGGGAUGAGGGACGAGAGCCACACAAGUGACCGAGACGAUGAUGCCAUAAAGAGUCGGUAGUUAAGGUAAAAGGGGUGAAGAGAUUGAUGGCGGUGGCAGAGGGAAGGUGAAGCCUGUCAAGCUCCUGGAGGCCCUAGGAGUUACAAUGCCGAGGGCAAGCACCAAGUAGAGCACCUGUGUGACGAUCCUAAUCCAAACAAGAGUCAAAGUCAAGAAUGACUACAACUAGAGUCGACAAUCUGAUCACUUGAAAUGAGCUACAUGGCAAGUCAGGAAACUUGAGCACAAGGAGCAUGAAAAGAAAAGGUGCUAAGAUUGUCUCGACGAUCGAUUGGGAGGGAAGUACCAUCAGCAGUAAGAACAUGAAUAGGAGAAUCUAGAGGUUUGAAUGGAGGACAAACUAGAAGAAUCAUGAGUCAUAUGAAAAGACGCUACACUAUCAAGGAUCCAUGGAAAAUUUAGCUGACUGACUUUGUAAAAAGUGGUCUCAAUAUUGAAAGAAUCAACAACAAAACUGUUGAUGGAGAACUAAAAGAAGCAUCUAGCAGACACUGAAGUCUCGUAAUCCCCAGCGUAGUCAGGGGUUCAACGGAAGCAGUAGGUAGGUGUCGAAGUCGUGCAAUCUCUUGCGCGGUGAAGGACACCGUUGAAGUGGCCGACGUUGAAUCACCGGAAGAGAAGUGUCCACCACCACCCGUGUAAGCCGCUAGAGGAGGCGGUGUAGCACGACAAGCACCAAGCGCUAAGGGAAGGCGCAUGUGCGAUGUAGUCGAUGGAGUGAUGUGCACCAAAGCUACUGAUGAAAGCCGCGAGGGGAGUCUGUGUAGAGCAACCAUCACCGUCAACAUAGGUCACGAGAGGCGACACUAUGGAGCCACCACCACAGCCUGCGGAAGGCACCGGGUGGGAGCAACAUCAUAUGUGGAGGAGCAUCAAGAGGUUAACCAUGUCCAAUGAAGUCAACACACAUGUUUUUUGUUCCUUUACUCUUCUACAAAACUAGGUUUGCUUACAAAAAAAGGGAGCAAAAGAGCAAGGAAGAGCAGCGAAUAGGGCACAUGAGGUAGGGGCAAAGCUAGUCAGCGGGCUAUCGGGUCUGAGGUCUAGUGGCGAAGUCUGUCGUUGAGGUCCUGCGUGUAGCAAGAGGGAGCCGAUACCGUGACCUGCAACAAAGGACGUCUCGACGAUUGUGGUUUGCACCAACUAGUUUGAGUUUGCGACAAUGCGUGGCCUCUUGUAGUGGCAGGGCGCCGGUGAGGCGCUGACCUUCUGUACAUGGCGAUGAGGCGCGACCUCCUGAAGAUGUAGGAUAGAUAGCCUAUGGUGCGAGCACGACGGAGGUGGAGGGGCGAGCCUGAUGGAGGCGGAGGUACGGAGAUCGGAAGGGCAUGAUGGGAGGGGGGACGGGUGGGGAUUUAUUGGGGCGUGAGAGGCCUGGACAAGGAAGGGGAGUGAUCCUGAUCUGGAGGCAGCGAAGCGAUGACGAUAGUCGUUGGGAUAGACACCGACGCGGGUCGGGGAGGUGUGGUUGCACAUGAGCUUAGCCUGAGAAAAAUUGAUCAAAAACUUGGGAUCGAUUUGGAGAGGAACACGAGUUGUGUGUGAGGAAGAAAACCUAGGCUCUAAUACCAUGUUAGGAAUAUGCAACUUGUAUUCACAGGCGGACAUAGACUAUAGAAGUACAUGUGUGCUGCAAUAUGCAGAAAGCCCCUUGUUUAAUGGGGAAAAUACAAAGGGUACACAACUAUAAUAUAUUACUCCAACAUGUUGAACACUGGCAUUGUCUUCCUUCCAAAUGGUCUAGAAUGCAAGCAACACUGCUGACUCGAGUUCGUAGUGCACCGAAGGUGGCAUUGUCUCCCGACAGCUAAUCCACCAGUUGGAAAGGGAAAUGCCGCCCCCUGGGGGCAUUGGUGAUGUUGAAGAGGCGAAUACCAAUUCUAGAUUGCUGUCGAGAAGGAGCAGCUGGUGAACAGGUGUUGAGAAGUCUUUGGGGCACUGAAGCAGAUGGUGUAGGCAACGUGGAUGUCCAUACUGUGGCGAUGACGACGGUAAGUAGACCAUAAACGGUACUCCAGAUAUGUGCCAACCACAUGGCUGCAACCGCAAUCCGAAGCCGAGCUUCAUCAUGGUGUCGUUGUCUCUAUAGGUUGUCGAUCGUUGAUGACCCAAGCGUUGUGUUCCUUCUAGAUUGUGAGCCCAUGAAGAACACACGAUACACGAAGUACUUGGAUGAUGUAUGUUUGCUUCCAAAGCGGGUGAUCUUCCUCCUCCUUGAGUACCAAGAUUGAUUGGAGAGCCCACGUGCGAGGCUCGUUGGGCGGUGCUGAUUAAGGUUAAGGCUCCCUUCAGUCGUCCUGCUUUUUACACCGCCAUGCAGGUGGCUUGGGCAAUGCAAAGGACGUUUAAUUCAUACCACUUCUUAUUACACUUUUACGACGGAGUUCAAGUGUUUUUGGGAUUGGAAUCACAACCAUGCAUAGGGGUCCUUGGCUCUUUAGGCACCAUGCUAUGGUAAUUGAGGAGUAUACUGGAAUAUGUCACCCUUAUAACUCCGCACGUGUUUGGGCUCAGAUCAUGGGUCGAUCGGACUUGCUGCAUAACAGAGUAGUGGCUAAAGCAAUGGCUUCCAAGACAAGAGAAGUGUUAGAUGUGGAGCUUGGGCUAAAUGGCGUUGAAUAUGAAAGUUUGUUUGAGUGUACGUCAAGAUCAAAUUGGAGAAGCCCCCUUUGAGGUUCUUAGGGAAUGUUGAGCUAGGUAAACUGCCCAAUUGUUCCGUGUGCUAUAUGAGAAGAUGUCGCAUUUUUGCGCAAAUUACGAUAAGAUUGGCAAUGUUACAGAACAAUGCGGGGAUGGGGUUCAUGAUCCAAAGAAGUUUCAGUUUAGCGAUUCUAUGAUGAUGAGUUCAUUGCUCAACCUCGUGGUAGCACUACUUGUGGAAGAGGCAGUAGAGGCCAAGGUGGUCAUGGAGGGUAAGUUGGGCAUGACUCGACCGAUGUAUAAGGAGAAAGAUUAUUUUCACCCUACGAAUGGAAAUACCAGUACAUGCAAUGUCAAUGCAAACAAUGUGAAUGCAAACGGAGUGAUUGCAGGCAACCGUGCGCCGGCCAAGGACCCUCCCUUGGCGCCAGGUGGAAGGAAAGUGUCAGGUCUUAUAAAAUACCAUGAGGGGAAAACUGGGGCGAGCAACUCGGCUCAGGGCACCUCUUUGCAAGUUCAAGCAAAGAAAUGGUAGAGGAUGGCGGGUGUGCCGUCCCAAUAGUGUUUUCAUCGCUUCCUUGUACCUCCCUUAUACUCUUCGUUUCCCGCUAAUCUGGCUUGUCGUCCUUGCCUUGUUUGCGGGUUGUGUGACACGUACUUGAUUCAACAUUCCACGUUCCCUUGUUGGGCGUCCCUGGCCUUGGCGACAGGUAGUGGCGUGCUCUUGGGCACUCUGCGUCCUUGCGUAAGACGGAGACGGUGCCGACUGCCCGUGCUCUUGCUCCAUCGUUGGUGGUGCUUGAGCUAGCGGCUAUGGCGACAACCUGCAUGGGAGCACGGGAUGUAGGAGCAGGGCAGCGCACAAAACAACUCGUAGACAGGAAAAGGAUGCCCAAUUUGACUAGCAGGCAGUGGAGAGUACACGGGAGGUGUGGGGGAAGGGGUGAAAAAGCUGUUGGGAGCGGACUGCCUCCGCCGUCAUCCACCUUGUUGGACCCAGAGCCGAGGGGCCAGGGGAUGACGAUAGGGGAAGCGAGGAAGAGGGAAGACAUAAGAGGUUUCCGGGAGGAGAGAGGCAUCAUCCACCACCCUACGCGUGUGCGUCAACCGUGGCAGUGGGUAGAUCCGGUGUCUACAUGUGAAUCUACUACUCGGGAUGGCAUGACGUGGCUGUUGUGGAGUGAGGUGCCACAACUAUUGUGCUGAGUGGGUUUGUUUGGUUGUUGGGGUUGUCGGCAGUAGGGCAUUUCUGCCGUGUGGCUCGCGUGCGAGUGAAAUCAUUGGAGCGGCAAUACUGGAUCUGGGGGAGUGUGUUCGGUGCAAUUGCUGCAUUUGCUGUGCUGUAGAUGAGGCUAUGAUGCUUGUGUGGUUUUUGUGCUACUUUUCCUUGUAAAUUGGCCUGCUUUGUUUGGUUGUCGAUCCAAUUUCCCUUACAAAAUGAAGCACUAAAAUCCUCAAGCUCAUGGUGGAUCAACAACAUUGAGUUUGGAGAGAUAGAAGUUGUGUGGUGCUCUAGUCCGGGCCUUUGUUAAGAAAUCGGUCAACUAUAAAUCGGAAGCACAUACUGAAGAGCAAUAAUUUGAUCUUGCACACUAGAGCACAUGAAGGGAGCAUCAACACCAAUAUGCUUGGUGAGCUCAUGCUUGAAAAGGCCGCACGCGAUACUUGUAGCACUUAUACUAUCUGAUAAGAGAGUAGUAGGUGUAGUGAUUGAAGCACAAAAUCCUCGAGCAACCAUCAAAGCCUGUCAAAAUAGCCGUAGCUCGCAACUUAGCCUCUACACUCGAACAAGAAAGUGUAGUCUGUUUCUUCAUCUUCCGGACAAUGAGAAACCACCAAGAAAAAUAUUAAGCGGAAAGGGGUGACGAAUUUGAGCGUGGGAAGAAGAGACAGUGAGAGAGUCUCAUGAAGAUCCAGGCAAUGAGAAAACCACGAAAACAUAGUAAGCAGAAAGGGAUCAAUGAACUUGAGCAUGGGAAGAAGAGACGGCGAGAGUCCCAUGAAGAUAUUGUAGAACACAGAUGUGGUGACUAUAGUGGAUCAAAGUGGGAGUAGAGACAAACUGACUGGAUGUGGUGACUAUGAACGGGAUAUGAAAUGUUGGAUGAGUGAUUUAAAUAGACAAGACUCCCAACAAGAUGACGGUUGGUGGGGCUAGGAGGGGAGGUUACCGGUACUGUCGAUGAAGCUCUGAGGAGGUGGCGCAUGACUUGGUGUUCAAAAUGGUUCCCUCAGUCACAGACUUUAGACUAGGGCUUUUUACAGUUUGAAUGUGGUCGACCUAGAGGUCUACCAUCUCUUGGAACGCUGCUGCUUCGAAGACUGACUUAAGAGCCCUGGAGUUGAUCGUGCUGGAAUUGGUCUUCGGGCUUUGUACUCGGUACAGUCGGUCGAAGAUUGGAUGCCAGGAGUGCCACUCACUCUCAUUCUAGAAGGAAAAGUCAUUUCGUCACGCGGUAGAAAUCCCCAUAUUCACAUGGGCUUCUAUGACGAACCUCGGUGUUCAUUCUCCAUAAAUUUGUGGUAUCCUUCAAUUCUGUUCCUCCCGGGCUAGCAAAUCCGAUGUCUAAGCGCCGGCGAAGCUGCCAUCUUGAUGAGGCUGGUAGCUGAACCUGCUUUGCAGUUGCUUUGCCUGCUAUUUGCCACCCGUUCUUCAACUUUCUCUGUGCCGCUCAACACCGGCGUGCCUCAAUUCCCCCACAAUUUUCACCUCCUUUUCCUUGCCGUUACCAAAGCCGGAUGGAUGAAGUGGCGCCAAGCUUCUGGCAUUCUCUGUGACAAGAGGGUGCCACAAAAGCUAAAAUUCAAGUUCUAUAGGGCGGCGGUUCGAUCCGCAAUGUUGUAUGGCGCUGAGUGUUGGCCGACUAAAAGGUGACAUGUUCAACAGUUAGGUGUGGCGGAGAUGCGUAUGUUGAGAUGGAUGUGUGAUCACAGGAGGAAGGAUCGAGUCCGGAAUGAUGAUAUACAGGAUAGAGUUGGGGUGGCACCAAUUGAAGAGAAGCUUGUCCAACAUCGUUUGUGAGGGUUGGGGCAUAUUCAGCGCAGGCCUCCGGAAGCUCCAGUGCAUAGCGGACGGCUAGAGCGUGCGGAGAAUGUCAAGAGAGGUCAGGGUAGAUCGAAUUUGACAUGGGAGGAGUCCGUUAAGAGAGACCUGAAGGAUUGGAGUAUCACCAAAAAACUAGUUGGACAGGGGUGCGUGGAAGCUUGCUAUCCAUGUGUCAGAGCCAUGAGUUGGUCGUGAGAUCUUAUGAGUUUCACCUCUAGCCUACCCCAACUUGUUUGGGACUAAAGGCUUUGUUUUUGUUGUUCCUUGCCGUUACCUCCAUUUAUUUUUGACCCUGCCCAAGAUUACUGGUUUUAUGUUAAUCUCUCUCAUCCCCGAUUCUUCUUCUUGGCUUAUGUAUGCUCUCACUUUCCUCCCUCCCCUACAACUCCAGUUUUGAGAUUUUGCUCAACAACUUCCUUCUGAUCACUAAUCUCUGGUUUUGGUCAGAAUUUGUUGAUUGUAUGUGCCCUUUUGUUCUGCUGAGAAUUGAAUUUGUAUGCUUGGUUUUAUUGUGUUAUGCAAGGUGCUUCUAACAAGUUAAAUGGAUGCACUGAUAUGUUGGUGCUUCCACAAUAUAGAUUUAGACAAUGUAAAAGUUAUUCACAUGUUCUUUCCAGCUGUAUCUGCAUAGGUAGCCAUCUUGUAGAAUUUGGGUAUACAUUCCACUCUUGUUCUUUUCUGAAUAUAAUUCACAUGUAGAAAACCAAUAUUGUCAGCUACGUGCCCUGAAUAAUCCCAUAUGCUCAUUGGAGUAACUAAAGGAAUCUGUUAACCGGUUCAUGGUUUCUGUAGCAAGAAAGAAGACAAAUCUUGAUUUUUUUAUGAAGGGGUGGAAGGUAUAUUUCUGUAUUUAAGAGUUUACUUAUUGAUACAGUUUAUCAAUAGGAUCUAUUGACAGUCUCUUAUGAGCGCCUUUGGUGGUAACUAUUUAUGGGUAAUGAGCUAUUUCUUGUGAUGCAAGUACCAUAACUUAUUCCCAUCGCAAGAUAUGUUUAAAUGCGAAUACUCCAUACAUGUUGAAGCUUUAAGCCUCUUGUUUGCCAUGUUGUUUAGGUAUCAAGAGCCUUUUCUUUUGAAGAUACAGAUUGAUUCAAAAGGCUUCAGCUGUGGAUUUGUUGGUGUAGUUUAUUUUAGCUGGGGUGACCAGUUGGUUUGCAGACAACGAUGGAUUCCGCUGAUGGUUGAGCAAGUAGGUGGGAACGUCGCAUGGUGUGUGCUGCACAUUCCGGCAGUAUUCAAUUCUUCCUCGAAAGCCGCCGUCAUCUCGGCUGUUUUCGAGGACGAGACGUCGAGGCCCAAAGCUGCUGCCGCCGUUGUUGCCCUGGUGGCGACAUUCAUCCAGCGCCGAUGCGUGAUAAACUGUCCAGAACCUCACUAGACGCUGAAAUGGAUUAGAUAAAUCUGUUGCUUCCAUCCAGAAUAGUUACUUUGUGUGGACUGCGUCUGGGCCUUUUGGUCAAAUGCCGGCAGUAUAGUUAUCCUGUCACACUGUAUGGAAGAGCGCAGCUGGCAAAGGGAGAAGACCCAAGACAAUACUGUAAGAUUUGCAGUACUGUAUGUUAUUAUGUUGUGUUCAGUGACACCGUGGAGUAACACAACGCAACUGUAUCGUUUUCUAUUUCUACUUCUGGAAAUCUCACAUUGAUCUGUAAGAAUAAUAGCAUGAAUUAGUACUAUUUUGGGACGUGCUUGCUACAAUGUCGCAACUGAGCGAGGCCGCAUGCCAAAGGUAUGGGCCGAGUAGGAGUGUAGGACAUGCCACUGUUUCCUCUGUAGCAACUGUUGCUUACCCCCUGCUUUUCUGUUCCUGUGUGAUCAAUCUGUCCAGUGACAUUUCUGGAGUAAAACCAUGCAAAUGCAGCGGGAUCUUGUUGUAAA